rnacentral:rRNA from 1 species
AGUGAACGCUGGCGGUAGGCCUAACACAUGCAAGUCGAACGGCAGCACAGUAAGAGCUUGCUCUUACGGGUGGCGAGUGGCGGACGGGUGAGGAAUACAUCGGAAUCUACUUUUUCGUGGGGGAUAACGCAGGGAAACUUACGCUAAUACCGCAUACGACCUACGGGUGAAAGCAGGGGAUCUUCGGACCUUGCGCGAUUGAAUGAGCCGAUGUCGGAUUAGCUAGUUGGCGGGGUAAAGGCCCACCAAGGCGACGAUCCGUAGCUGGUCUGAGAGGAUGAUCAGCCACACUGGAACUGAGACACGGUCCAGACUCCUACGGGAGGCAGCAGUGGGGAAUAUUGGACAAUGGGCGCAAGCCUGAUCCAGCCAUACCGCGUGGGUGAAGAAGGCCUUCGGGUUGUAAAGCCCUUUUGUUGGGAAAGAAAAGCAGCAGGUUAAGACCCCGCUGUUCUGACGGUACCCAAAGAAUAAGCACCGGCUAACUUCGU